rnacentral:rRNA from 1 species
UACCAGCACCCCGAGUGGUCGGGACGAUUAUUGGGCCUAAAGCAUCCGUAGCCGGUUCUGCAAGUCCUCCGUUAAAUCCAGCUGCUCAACAGAUGGGCCGCGGAGGAUACUACAGAGCUAGGGGGCAGGAGAGGCAAGCGGUACUCAGUGGGUAGGGGUAAAAUCCGUUGAUCCAUUGAAGACCACCAGUGGCGAAGGCGGCUUGCCAGAAUGCGCUCGACGGUGAGGGAUGAAAGCUGGGGGAGCAAACCGG